rnacentral:rRNA from 1 species
UACGUAGGUGGCGAGCGUUGUCCGGAAUUACUGGGCGUAAAGGGUGCGUAGGCGGAUCCUUAAGUGAGGAGUGAAAUCCCUGGGCUCAACCCAGGAACUGCACUUCAAACUGGUGAGCUAGAGUGCAGGAGAGGAAAGCGGAAUUCCUGGUGUAGCGGUGAAAUGCGUAGAGAUCGUAAGGAACACCAGUGGAGAAGGCUGCUUUCUGGACUGUAACUGACGAUGAGGCACGAAAGCGUGGGGAGCAAACAGG